rnacentral:rRNA from 1 species
CACCUGUUUAUCAAAAACAUGGUUUUAUAAUAUAAAUAUAAGAUUUGUUCUGCUCAGUGAUUAUUAAAUUAAAUAGCCGCAGUAUUAUGACUGUGCAAAGGUAGCAUAAUCAAUUGUCUCUUAAUUGGGGACUAGAAUGAAGGAAUGAAUGAAAUUUUAACUGUCUUAAAUAAAAAAUUAGAAUUUAAAUUUUAAGUAAGAAUGCUUAAAUAAUAUUAUGGGACGAGAAGACCCUAUAGAAUUUUAUAUAGAUUUUAAAUUAAAAUUAAUUAGGAAUAAAUAAGUAAUAAAAUUUAAAAUUAUAUUUUGUUGGGAGGAUAGUUAAAUUAAAUUAACUUUAAUUUUAUUUAAAUAAAAUUAACAAUAAUGUUUGAAAUAAUUGAAUAAAUUUUUAUUAUAAUUUAUAUAAGAAUUAAUUACCUUAGGGAUAACAGCGUUAUAUUUUUUGAAAGUUCAUAUUAAAAGAAAUGAUUGCGACCUCGAUGUUGAAUUAAAAUAAAAAAUUAAAUGGAGAAGUUUAAUAUUUUAGUCUGUUCGACUAUUAAAAUUUUACAUGAUUUGAGUUCAAAUCGACG